rnacentral:rRNA from 1 species
UACGGAGGGGGCUAGCGUUGUUCGGAAUUACUGGGCGUAAAGCGCACGUAGGCGGCUUUGUAAGUUAGAGGUGAAAGCCCGGAGCUCAACUCCGGAAUUGCCUUUAAGACUGCAUCGCUAGAACGUCGGAGAGGUGAGUGGAAUUCCGAGUGUAGAGGUGAAAUUCGUAGAUAUUCGGAAGAAACACCAGUGGCGGAAGGCGACUCACUGGACGACUGUUGACGCUGAGGUGCGAAAGCGUGGGGGAGCAAACAGG